rnacentral:rRNA from 1 species
AAUCUUCCACAAUGGGCGAAAGCCUGAUGGAGCGACUCCGCGUGAGUGAAGAAGGAUAUCGGAUCGUAAAACUCUGUUGUAAGGGAAGAACAAGUACAGUAGUAAUGGGCUGUACCUUGACGGUACCUUAUUAGAAAUCCACGGCUAACUACGUGCCAGCAGCCGUGGUAAUACGUAGGUGGCGAGCGUGCUCCGGAAUUAUUGGGAUUAAAGGGCGCGCCGGAGGUCCUUUAAGUCUGAUGUGACAGCCCACGGCUCAACCGUGGAGGGUAAUUGGAAACUGGGGGACUUGAGUGCAGAUGAGGAAAGUGGAAUUCCAAGUGUAGCGGUGAAAUGCGUAGAGAUUUGGAGGAACACCAGUGGCGAAGGCGACUUUCUGGUCUGUAACUGACGCUGAGGCGCGAAAGCGUGGGGAGCAAAC